CAGCCGCCGCGGUAAUACGGAGGGUGCAAGCGUUAAUCGGAAUUACUGGGCGUAAAGCGCACGCAGGCGGUUUGUUAAGUCAGAUGUGAAAUCCCCGAGCUUAACUUGGGAACUGCAUUUGAAACUGGCAAGCUAGAGUCUUGUAGAGGGGGGUAGAAUUUCAGGUGUAGCGGUGAUAUGCGUAGAGAUCUGGAGGAAUACCGGUGGCGAAGGCGGCCCCCUGGACAAAGACUGACGCUCAGGUGCGAAAGCGUGGGGAGCAAACAGGAUUAGAUACCCCUGUAGUCCCUGUCUCUUAUAC
rnacentral:rRNA from 1 species